UACAGAGGUCUCAACCGUUGUUCGGAUUCAUUGGGCGUAAAGAGCGUGUAGGCGGCCAUGCAGGUCCGUUGUGAAAACUCGAGGCUCAACCUCGAGACGUCGAUGGAAACCGCAUGGCUAGAGUCCGGAAGAGGAGAGUGGAAUUCCUGGUGUAGCGGUGAAAUGCGCAGAUAUCAGGAAGAACACCCGUGGCGAAGGCGGCUCUCUGGGACGGUACUGACGCUGAGACGCGAAAGCGUGGGGAGCAAACAGG
rnacentral:rRNA from 1 species